GGUCGCUUAGCUCAGUUGGUUAGAGCGUGGUGCUAAUAUGUUCUCUGUACAAGCAGUGAGAUUUAAACGCCAAGGUCGCGAGUUCGACCCUCGUAGUGAUCA
rfam:Sclerotinia sclerotiorum 1980 scaffold_3 genomic scaffold, whole genome shotgun sequence.